rnacentral:rRNA from 1 species
AGAGUUUGAUUAUGGCUCAGGACGAACGCUGGCGGCGUGCCUAACACAUGCAAGUCGAGCGAUGAAACCCUUCGGGGUGGAUUAGCGGCGGACGGGUGAGUAACACGUGGGUAACCUGCCUCAAAGAGGGGGAUAGCCUCCCGAAAGGGAGAUUAAUACCGCAUAACAUUAUUUCUUCGCAUGAAGAGAUAAUCAAAGGAGUAAUCCGCUUUGAGAUGGACCCGCGGCGCAUUAGCUAGUUGGUGAGGUAAUGGCUCACCAAGGCAACGAUGCGUAGCCGACCUGAGAGGGUGAUCGGCCACAUUGGAACUGAGAUACGGUCCAGACUCCUACGGGAGGCAGCAGUGGGGAAUAUUGCGCAAUGGGGGAAACCCUGAACCGCAGCAACGCCGCGUGGGUGAAGAAGGCCUUCGGGUUGUAAAGCUCUGUCUUCUGGGACGAUAAUGACGGUACCAGAGGAGGAAGCCACGGCUAACUACGUGCCAGCCGCGGC